rnacentral:rRNA from 1 species
UACGUAGGGGGCAAGCGUUGUCCGGAUUUAUUGGGCGUAAAGAGCGUGUAGGCGGUUCGGUAGGUCCGUUGUGAAAACUCGAGCUCAACCUCGAGACGCCGAUGGAAACCCCCGAACUAGAGUCCGGAAGAGGAGAGUGGAAUUCCUGGUGUAGCGGUGAAAUGCGCAGAUAUCAGGAGGAACACCGGUGGCGAAGGCGGGGAUCUCUGGGCCGAUACUGACGCUGAGGAGCGAAAGCGUGGGGAGCGAACAGGAUUAGAUACCC